CAGCAGUGGGGAAUAUUGCACAAUGGGCGCAAGCCUGAUGCAGCAACGCCGCGUGAGGGACGACGGCCUUCGGGUUGUAAACCUCUUUUAGCAGGGAAGAAGCGAAAGUGACGGUACCUGCAGAAAAAGCACCGGCUAACUACGUGCCAGCAGCCGCGGUAAUACGUAGGGUGCAAGCGUUAUCCGGAAUUAUUGGGCGUAAAGAGCUCGUAGGCGGUUUGUCGCGUCUGCUGUGAAACCCCGAGGCUCAACCUCGGGCCUGCAGUGGGUACGGGCAGACUAGAGUGCGGUAGGGGAGAUUGGAAUUCCUGGUGUAGCGGUGGAAUGCGCAGAUAUCAGGAGGAACACCGAUGGCGAAGGCAGAUCUCUGGGCCGUAACUGACGCUGAGGAGCGAAAGGGUGGGGAGCAAACAGGCUUAGAUACCCUGGUAGUCCACCCCGUAAACGUUGGGAACUAGUUGUGGGGUCCAUUCCACGGAUUCCGUGACGCAGCUAA
rnacentral:rRNA from 1 species